rnacentral:lncRNA from 1 species
CUAGCACGCUUUCUAUAUAUAAAUCUAUCCCUUUCUAUCUCCAGCUCGCACUCUUUCUUUCUCUCCCUCCCUCUCCCUCUUCCUCUCCCCUUCUCUCACUUCUUUCUCCUCCUUCUCUUUCUCUGACCCCGCCUCUCUUUCUGUCUCUCUCUCUUUUCACAUACACACACACACACACACACACACACAUAUAUAUAUAUAUAUAUAUAUAUAUAUCCAUAUACACACACACACAUACGUGUCUCCCGCCAUCUCUCUAUCUUUCACUCAUACUCUCCCUCAUCCAAAGAGCGACAAAACUGAUUGAGUGAGUGGGAGGGUAAGAGAGAAAGAAAGAGAGAGAGAGAGAGAGAGAGCGAAUGUCAGCUUCUCUCUUCUCAUCUCAUCUUAGGUGAAAUAGUAGCAAUAAUAGUAUUUCUACUAAGACAGUAAUAAGUAAUAAUAAUCAUAACAACAACAGCAGCAACAGUAAAAAUAAUAAUAAUAAUAGUACUACUACUAUUACAACUAAUAGUAGUAGCAACAGCAACAGUAGUAGUAGUAGUAGUAAUAGUAGUUGUUGCAGCCGCAGCAAUCGCCACCGCCUUACCACCACCACCUCGACAACUACCACCACCACCACCACUACUACUGCUAACUAAGUAAAGCUCGAAACCCUCUAGCAGUACGCACAGCCAGUAAGUUGUAGUCUGGCGAAAUCCGGGGGGCCUUUAGGACCUCCACUGGUCUAUUGCGAUACUAAAUGGAACUGGAAAAUAUUGUUGCGAAUACGGUCUAUAUAAAGGCACGAGAAGGUG